rnacentral:rRNA from 1 species
GCUCAGGACGAACGCUGGCGGCGUGCCUAAUACAUGCAAGUCGAACGCAAUCUUUGACUAAUGAGUGCUUGCACUCAGCAGUCAAAGUGCGAGUGGCGAACGGGUGAGUAACACGUGGGCAAUCUGCCCAAAAGUGGGGGAUAACACUUGGAAACAGGUGCUAAUACCGCAUCAACCGGCUGACCGCAUGGUCGGCCGGGCAAAGACGGCGUCAGCUGUCGCUUUUGGAUGAGCCCGCGGCGUAUUAACUAGUUGGUAAGGUAACGGCUUACCAAGGUGAUGAUACGUAGCCGAACUGAGAGGUUGAUCGGCCACAUUGGGACUGAGACACGGCCCAAACUCCUACGGGAGGCAGCAGUAGGGAAUCUUCCACAAUGGACGCAAGUCUGAUGGAGCAACGCCGCGUGUAUGAAGAAGGUCUUCGGAUCGUAAAAUACUGUUGUCAGAGAAGAACACGUGAUAGAGUAACUGCUAUGGCGCUGACGGUAUCUGACCAGCAAGUCACGGCUAACUACGUGCCAGCAGCCGCGGUAAUACGUAGGUGGCAAGCGUUGUCCGGAUUUAUUGGGCGUAAAGGGAACGCAGGCGGUCUUUUAAGUCUGAUGUGAAAGCCUUCGGCUUAACCGGAGAAGUGCAUUGGAAACUGGAAGACUUGAGUGCAGAAGAGGAGAGUGGAACUCCAUGUGUAGCGGUGAAAUGCGUAGAUAUAUGGAAGAACACCAGUGGCGAAAGCGGCUCUCUGGUCUGUAACUGACGCUGAGGUUCGAAAGCGUGGGGAGCGAACAGGAUUAGAUACCC